rnacentral:rRNA from 1 species
UACGUAGGGGGCAAGCGUUGUCCGGAUUUAUUGGGCGUAAAGAGCGUGUGGGCGGCCAGAUAGGUCUGUUGUGAAAACUCGAGGCUCAACCUCGAGACGCCGAUGGAAACCAUUUGGCUAGAGUCCGGAAGAGGAGAGUGGAAUUCCUGGUGUAGCGGUGAAAUGCGUAGAUAUCAGGAGGAACACCAGCGGUGUAGACGGCUUUCUGGACCAUUGCUGACGCUGAGACACGAAAGCGUGGGUAGCAAACAGG